ACGGGUGAGUAACACGUAGGUAACCUGCCUAUGAGACUGGGAUAACUAUCGGAAACGAUAGCUAAGACCGGAUAACUGGUUUUCUCGCAUGAGAGAAUCAUGAAACACGGAGCAAUCUGUGGCUUAUAGAUGGGCCUGCGGCGCAUUAGCUAGUUGGUAGGGUAAUGGCCUACCAAGGCGACGAUGCGUAGCCGACCUGAGAGGGUGAACGGCCACACUGGGACUGAGACACGGCCCAGACUCCUACGGGAGGCAGCAGUAGGGAAUCUUCCGCAAUGGACGCAAGUCUGACGGAGCAACGCCGCGUGAGUGAUGAAGGUUUUCGGAUCGUAGAGCUCUGUUGCCCUAGACGAACAGCAAGGAGAGUAACUGCUCUUUGUGUGACGGUAUAGGAGAAGAAAGCCCCGGCUAACUACGUGCCAGCAGCCGCGGUAAUACGUAGGGGGCAAGCGUUGUCCGGAAUUAUUGGGCGUAAAGCGCGCGCAGGCGGUUAAUUAAGUUGGGUGUUUAAGCCCGGGGCUCAACCCCGGUUCGCAUCCAAAACUGGUUGACUUGAGUGUAGGAGAGGAAAGUGGAAUUCCACGUGU
rnacentral:rRNA from 1 species